ACCAUUCAUUUGGCACUUUAUUGUGCAUUCAUUACUGUUGUUAUCAAGUGUUUUCAUACUAAUGCUUAUUUCCCCAACAAGAAAAUAACUUUGGCAGCUAUGGUAGCUUUGCCUUGGGCCUCUUCCCCCAGCAUACCUGUUCCAGUGCUGAGUACAUUGAUGACUGUUAAGAAGUAGAUGUACAGUUUUAGAAAUAAAAGUAGUAAAUGGCACAUAGAAAUUAUUUUUUAAAUGUUAUUAAACUCCUUUUACGAAACAAUCAGAGGAACCCCAAAACUUUCCUGGCCAGUUUUCAACUGUAUUUGAGUUUCCAAAGUGACAAUUGAUAAGGAGAAUUGGAAAAACCUAUUUGUUGUUGCAUUUAAAAAAAAAAAUCAGUGUUUAUUUUAUGUGCAGGGAGUAUACAUGCGGGUUUCUUACAUGGGAAUAUUGUGUGAUGUUGAUGUUAAGUAUACACAUCCCAUCACCCAGGUACUGAGCAUAGUACCAGAUAGGUAAUUUUACAACCUGAAUCUUCCUCUCUCCCUCCUUCCUCUAAUAGUCUGCAGUGUCUAUUGUUCCCAUGUUUAUGUCCACGUGUACUCAAUGUUUAGCUCCCCCUUAUAAGUGAGAACACAUAGUAUCUGGUUUUCUCUUCCUGCAUUAAUUUGCUUAGGAUUAUGGCCUCCAACUUCAUCCAUGCUGCUGCAAAAGACAUGAUUUCAUUCCUUUUCAUGGCUGUGUAGUAUUCCGUAGUAUAUAUGUACCACAUUUUCUUUAUCCAAUCUACCAUUGAUGGGCAGCUGGGUUGAUUUUUGUCUUUAUUAUUGUAUAUAAUGCAGCAACGAACAUAUGAGUGCAUGUGUCUUUUUGGUAGAAUGAUUUAUUUUCCAUUGAGUAUAUACUCAGUAAUGAAAUUGCUGGGUCAAAUGGUAUCUGUGUUUUAAGUUCUUUGAGAAAUCUCCAGACUGAUUUCCAGGGGCUGAACUAAUUUACAUUCCCACCAACAGUGUAUAAGUGUUCCUCUUUCUCCACAGCCUUACCAACACCUGUGGAUUUUUUAACUUUUUGAUAAUAGCCAUUCUGACUGGUGUGAGAUGGUAUCUCUUAGUGAUUUUAUUGGUAUUUCUCUGAUUAUUAGUGAUGCUAAUUUUUCAUAUGUUUGUUGGCCACUUUUAAGAAGUAUCAGUUAAUCUCUUUUGCCUAUUUUUUAAAGUGUUAUUUGUUUGUCACUUGUUGAUUUGUUUAAGGUCUCUAUAGAUUCUGGACGGAUACUUUGCCUUCGUCAGAUCCGUAGUUUGAGAAUAUCUUCUCUUAUUCUGUAGGUUGUCUGUUUACUGUGUUAAUAGUUUCAUUUGCUGCACAGGAACUCUUUAAUUAGAUCCCACUUCUUUACCAAGGCUAAUGUUGCCAAGGUUAAUGUUGUAUUUCCUAGGUUAUCUUCUAGGAUUUUUAUAGUUUGAGGUCUUUGAGGUCUUUGAUCCAUUUUGAGUUAAUUUUUGUAUACGGUGAGAGGUAGGUUCCAGCUUCAAUCUUCUGCAUAUGCCUAGCCAGUUAUCCCAGCACCAUUUAUUGAAUAGGGAAUCCUUACCCCAUUGCUUGUUUUUGUCAGCCUUGUUGGAGAUCAGAUGGUUGUAGGUGUGUGGCUUAAUUUCUGAGUUCUGUAACCUGUUCCAUUAGUCUAUGUGUCUGUUUUUGUACCAGUACCCUGCCGUUUUGGUUACUGUAGCUUUGUAGUGUAGUUUGAAGUCUGGUAGUGUGAUGUCUUCAGCUUUGUUUUUUGUUUGUUCAUUUGUUUUGUUUUGUUUGCUUAGGAUUGCUUUGGCUGUUUGGGCUCUUUUUUGUUCCAUAUGAAUUUUAGAAUAGUUUUUUUCUAAUUCUGUGAAGAAUGACAUUGGCAGUUUUAAAAGAAUAGCAUUGAAUCUGUAUAUUGCUUUGGGCAGUAUGGCCAUUUUAACAAUAUUAAUUUUUCCAAUCCAUGGUCAUGGAUUUUUUUCCAUUUGUUUGUGUCACCUGUGAUUUCUUUAAGCUUUGUAAAGAUCUUUCACCUCAUUAGUGAAAGCUGUAUUCCUAGAUAUAUCAUUUUCUUUGUGGCUAUUUAAGUGAGUUUGUGUUCUUGAUUUUACUCUCAGCCUGGACACUGUUGGUAUAUAGAAAUGCUACUACUUUUUGUACAUUGAUUUUGUAUCCUGAAACUUUACUAAAAUGAUUCAUCAGUUUUAGGAGUCUUUUGACAGAGUCUUUAGGGUUUUCUUGGUAUACAAAUAUAUCAUCAGCAAAGAGAGAUAGUUCGACUUCUUUUCCUAUUUGGAUGCUUUUUAUUUCUUUCUCUUGCCUAAUUUCUCUGACUAGUACUUACAGUACUACCUUGAAUAGGAGUGGUGAGAGUAGGUAUCCUUGCCUUCUUCCUGUUCUUAAGAGGAAUGGCUAAAGCUUUUGCCCAUUCAGUAUGAUGUUGGAUGUGGAUUUGUCAUAGAUGUUUCUUAUUAUUUUGAGGUAUGUUCGUUUGAUAGAUGUUGAAUUUUUAUUGAUAGCUUUUUCUGCCUCUAUUGAGAUGACUAUGUAGGUUUUGCUUUCAAUUCUGUUUAUGUGGCGAAUCAUAUUUAUUGAUUUGCCUAUGUUGAACCAGGCUUGCAUUCCUGGAAUGAUGCCUACUUGAUCAUGAUAUAUUAACUUUUUGAUAUGCUGCUGGAUUUGGUUUGUUAAUAUUUUGUUGAGAAUUUUCACAUCUAUUCAAUCUUGGGAGAUUUUUUGCUUUCAGGAAUUUAUCCAUUUCCUCUAUAUUUUCUAAUUUGUGUACGUUCAUAGCAGUCUCUGAGGACAAGUAUUUCUGUGGAUCAAUUGUAACAUCACCUUUGUCAUUUCUGAUUGUGUUUAUUUGGAUCUUUCUUUUUUGUUCAUCUAGCUAGGUGGGUCUAUCAAUUUUAUUUAUUCUUUCAAAGAAACAACUAUUGGUUUCAUUUGAUCUUUUGUAUGGAUUUUGCAUCUCAAUUUCAUUCCAUUCUUCUCUAACUUUAGUGACUUCUUUUAUUCUGCUAGCUUUGGGGUUGGUUUGUUCUUUUCUGUCUAGUUCUUUUAGAUGCAAAGUUAGACUGCUAAUUUGAGAUCUUCCUAACUUCUUGAUUAAGGCAUUUAGUGCUAUAAACUUUCCUCUUAACACUGCUUUAGCUGUACCCCAGAGAUUUUGGUAAGGUAUGUCUCUAUUUUUAGUAAUUUCAAAUAAUUUUUUAUUUCUUCCUGAAUUUUGAUGUUCACACAAGAGUUAUUCAGGAGUAAGUUGUUUAAUUUUCAUGUAUUUAUGUAUGAGAUCUUCUUGAUAUUGAUUUAUUUUUAAUUACAUUGUGGUCUGAUAUUAAGGUUCGUAUGAUUUCAAUUUUUUUUAAUUUAUUGAGACUUGCUUUCUUACCUAGCAUGUGAUUGAUCUUGGAAUGUGUUCCAUGUGCAGAUAAGAAGAAUGUAUAUUCUGUCUUUGUUGGGUGAAGUUUUCUGUGGAUAUCUAUUAGGUCCAAUUGGUCAAGUAACAAGUUUAAGUCCAGAGUUCUUUUAUUAGUUUUCUGUCUCAAUGAUCUGUAAGUAGGAUGUGAAAGUCUCCCACUAUUAUUGUGUGGCUGUCUAAGUCUUCUUGUAGAUCGAGAAGUACUUGUUUUAUAAAUCUGGGUGCUCCAAUGUUGGGUGUGUAUAUAUUUAGAAUAGUUAAAACUUCUUGUUGGAUUGUACCCUUUGUCAUUAUGUCCUUUUUUCCAAUAAGCCUUCUGUGGUCCAGGAAAUACCCUUCUUUGUCUUUCUUAAUUAUUAAGGGUUUAAAGUCUGUUUUGUCUGAUAUAAAACUAGUGACUCCUGCUCUUUUUUGUUUUCUGAUUUUGCAUGAUAAAUCUUUCUCCAAGUCUUUGAGUCUGUGGGUGUCAUUACACAUAACAUAGAGCUCUUGAAAAUAGUGGAUGAUUGGAUCUUGUCUUUUUAUCAAGCUUGACACUCUAUGUCUUUUAAGUGGGGCAUUUAGCCCCUUUACACUCGGGGUUAGUAUUGAUGUGUGAGAUGUUGAUCCUGUCAUUGUGUUGUUAUGUAGACUUACUGUGUAAUUGCCUAUAGUGUCGUUGGGCUGUGUGCUUAAGUGAGUGUUUGUGGUAGCAGGUGUUAUUCUUUUGAGUCCAUAUUCAGCACUCCCUUAGGACCUCUUGUUAGGCUGGUCUAGUUGAAUUCCUUCAGCAUUUGCUUGUCUGAGAAGGUUUUUAUUUCUCCUUCACUUAGGAAGCUUAGUUUGGCAGUGUAUGAGACUCUUGGUUGGAAUUUUUUUUCUUUAAGGAUGACAAAAAUAGACCCCUCUCCCUCCAUCUCUUCUGGCUUGUCAGGUUUCUGCUGAGAGGUCCACUGCCAGCCUAAUGAGAGUCCUUCUGCAUGUGACUUGACCCUUCUCCCUAGCUGUCUUUAAGAUUUUUUUCUUUUGCAUUGACCAUGGUGAAUCUGAUGACUAUGUGCCUUGGGGAUGGUCAUCUUGUAUAUUAUCUGGCCAAGGUCUUCUGUAUUUCUUGAAUUUACAUGUCAACCUCUCUAGAGAGAUUAGGGAAAUUUUUGUGGGCUAUGUCCCCAAAUAUAUUUUCCAAGUUGCUUAUUCUCUCUCCUUCUCUCUCAGGGAUGGCAAUGAGUCAUAGAUUUUGUCUCUUUACAUAAUCUCAUAUUUCUGGGAGAUUGUGUUCAUUUCUUAAAACUCUUUUUUCUUUAUUUUUGUCUAAGUUGAUUCAAAGAACCAGGGGUCAAGCUCUGAGAUUCUUUCCUCAGCUUGGCCUAUUCUGCUAUUAAUACUUCUGAUUGUAUUAUGAAAUUCUUUUUUGAACUCAAUAAGCUCAGUUUGGGUCUUUUGUAAAAUUGCUAUUUUAUCUUUCAGCUCUUAAACCAUUUCACUGGAUUGCUUGGUUUCCUUGGAUUGCAUUUCAACUUUCUCCUGGAUAUCUAUAAGCUUCAUUGCCAUUCAGAUUCUGAAUUCCAUGCUCAUCAUUUCAGAUUGGUUAAGAACAAUUGCUGUGGAGCUAGUGGGCUCAUUUGGAGGUGUUCCAGGUCGUUGGGCUCCUUCAGGCAGAGGUCCAGCAGGGAGACAGGCCCCACACUUACUGGACCAGCUCUGUGGAGGGAGGCACGCCUAGGUUCCACACCAGCCCAGGAACCUGUGCGACUCACCCCUCUCUGAGAGUUUUCUGAGAGUAUGGGCUCCUCUUCUGCUGAAGCACUGGGCCCAGUUCCGCACUCCGGAGCCACAGCCCUGGGACGUCCGGAUCUGCUCACAGCUCCCUCCCCUGGACCCUUGGGGUUGGGAUCUGUGUGCACUGGGGGAUUCAAACAGCUCCCACGCUGCCGGAAUGCACUCAAGUGGAGCAAAGCACCCAUGCUGAGCAGCUGAGGCUGCACUGUGUACACACUCCUGUGGGGUGGCCAGGCAGGAAUCCUGGGAGGGACUGGCAGGCAGGUGGGCCUGCGGGACAGAUGUGCCCUAAUCCCACGGGGAAGCACUUCUUCUCCCAUUCUGGUGGUUAUAUGGGGCCAGAGCCUCUCAGAGGGAGACAGAGAGCCCUGGGGGAUGAGUGCUCCCGCGGAGCUGUCUCACAGACAAAGCUUCCAGCUCCGUGCCUGCUGGAGCCCUUUCUCCAUCUAAUCUCUAGUGAGAGUCUCAUGUCAGCUCAAACGCGGAGGCCGGGGGUCCUCUGCAGCUAGGAUCCCAGAGGUCUACGGCAAGAGAAUAAAUUGUUAUUAAAGUAAUUCCUCUUUGCUCUGAAUUUGCAUUCAGCCGAACGUUCACGUGUGACCCAGCUUCACGAUCUGAGAUUUGUACACAAUGUGCAAUUUAUUUGAAAUAUUGGAAGUUGCUUUUCUGCUAUGUAUUGACUUGGCAUUUCUAGUCUUUCACUCCUGUUAUGAUCUUCAGUAUGGUGCAUCUUUUCCUGGACGUUAGGUGCUCCUUCCUCUCUCCCUUUCUCCCUUCUCACUCCAGGGCAACACAUAUUAUUAUAAAGUUUAUUCAGGUUGAGUCUACUGCUUUGGUGAGUUAAAGGACAUUUUAACUCAUAUGAAUGGCCCUAAAAGCCUUCACCUGAGCAUUCAACUUGUUUGAUAAGCAUACGCUAUGUCCCUCCCCUGGCCAGGUCAAGGCCACCACCGUGUGAGCCUCUUCUCUACCCAGGUUGCUCCCAUAUAUUUGGAUGGUUAGAUGGGAAGCUGGUCCAGAGGGCAGACGAAGAAAUGGAAAUUCGACCCCAGCUGACUAGUCCACAUGUGACCCAGUGGUAUUAUCUGGGAAUUUUCACACAUUAUGCACCUUAUUUAAAAUUCUGGCAAUUUUUUUUCUUCUAUAUAGUGACAAAGACAUUGCUUGGAUUCCCUUUGCUGCUUACAAAAAACAACAAACACCAAAAAAUCUAUAAAUACAGCAUUUAUAUUUUCUGACUGAAUCUCAAAAUUAGUUGGGGCAUUGGGAAAGAAUUUAAUUUG
rnacentral:lncRNA from 10 species